UGUGUGUGAGUGUGUGUGUGUGUGUGUGUGUGUGUAUGCCAGUGUAUGCCAGUGUAUGUGUGUGUGUAUGCCAGUGUAUGUGUGUAUGCCAGUGUCUGCCAGUGUAUGUGUGUGUGUAUGCCAGUGUAUGUGUGUGUGUAUGCCAGUGUAUGUGUGUAUGCCAGUGUCUGCCAGUGUAUGUGUGUGUGUAUGCCAGUGUGUAUGC